CAGCCGCCACGGGAAUACAGAGGGUGCAAGCGUUAAUCGGAAUUACUGGGCGUAAAGGGCGCGUAGGUGGUUGCGUAAGUGAGAUGUGAAAUCCCCGGGCUUAACCUGGGACGUGCAUCUUAUACUGCGUAACUGGAGAACAAGAGAGGGUAGUGGAAUUUCCGGUGUAGCGGUGAAAUGCGUAGAUAUCGGAAGGAACACCAGUGGCGAAAGCGGCUCACUGGACCAUAACUGACGCUGAGGCACGAAAGCUAGGGGAGCAAACAGGAUUAGAUACCCCCGUAGUCCCUGUCUCUUAUAC
rnacentral:rRNA from 1 species